rnacentral:lncRNA from 1 species
ACAGGCAACUGGUGCCCAUGAGGUCACCUAGGGGAGACCCCACGUGUGUGUGAUGUACAUUUUUAAGGAGCUACUGGUACAGCAGUGCACAUUAAUGAGCAGGUGAAAGCUACAGAGCAGCUCCAGUAGCAGCAUGACAGUGUGAAAUUGUAAGUGGUGAUGUCUGAAGAUGAGUUUGGGAAAUGCAGACUCUGCCUUUCUCGUGCACUCAUAUGAAAAGUCACCUGGGGAGCACUGGAUUCUAGUGAAUACCCUCAAGUAAACUUCUAAGAAAACUACAGAUUUGGAGCUUCAAAUGCCUUGGUGAAGUUUCUAAGAACUUGGAUGUCUAAAAAGAACAGGGCAGGAAAUUAUCCAACUUGCAAGAGAAUGCUAGCUGAAAAUCGUCCCAUCUUAUGGAAAACCGGUAGAAAAUCCAGGAGGUGAAAUGGAGAACAUGUUCAACUGGAGAAUUCUAUUUCUUAUGCAUGUCAAAUAUGUUUCCUUCUCCUGCACUAGCUGUUCCUUCUGCUGGAAGAAUAUUUAUAUGACUGGCUAAACUUACUGUUCAGAUCUGAGAGUAAAUUUGCAUUUCUCAGAGAGUUAGUUCCUGACCACCCAACUCAAAGUACUAACACUCUAUCUAGUCCUUUUCUUGUUUGUUUUUCAUGUUUAUUUUAUUUCCCACCACUAGAAUCUAAGCUUUUUGAGAGCCGGCACUUUGUCCAUCUGGGUCACUGAAUCCCAAUGAGUUAUUCACAGAUGUUUUUAGUACAUAGUAGGUGAAAUGCAUAGAUAAUAUUUCAACUAAGAAAGUGAACAGAAGAAAGUUGGUCAUUGACUUAUUACUAGUAGCUCACUACUCUCUAUGUAUGAAGACAUCACUUACUGAUGGUUAUGAAGCAGAUGCUCAAUAAUUUUUUUUUAAUAAACAGGAGGGCAAGGAGCCAAUGUCGUUUGUAGUGGAGGGUAGUCAUGGACACUGAGAGUAUGUUUUAGACACAAUUUAUCAAUGGCCAGCCUCAGGCUGAGAUAAAAUAUAACAGAGUUUGCCAAGGUCUUUCAUGCCCAGGCAGUCAGUGCUCACAUGUUCCCUGUAACUGCCUGGGUACCUUUCCCUGAGUCAUCAGUCCUGUGUCUUAAUUCUUUUAGUAGCACCUGCAUUCUGCUCCUUUAACCUUCCAUCAAUCAGCUCUUAUAUACUGUACAUCUCUUUCUCAAGAAGCCUUGUGCAACGCAUGGUGAUUUCAACAGUGAUGAAUAUUUCCUUCCCUCUGACUUCUUAUGAAACCAGGAUAAUGAAGCAAAUUAGAAUGUAUUUUAACAUCACUCUCCCUUGUUUGCUGUCCAGCUAAUGAACAGUGGACUGGCUGAAGAAAGACCAGCAUGAAGCAGAAAAAUUGUUUGGUGAAAAAUUCAAGAAUGGGCCAAUAUCCAUUAAAAGAUUGAAAGAGGAGAUGUUUUGGGUCCACCUCCACUGGGGACAGAAAUUCCAUUCUGCCAACACCCCCUCCAUAUCCAUUGUCUGAAAGAGGCACUGCUGUUGAGUCAUAAGUAGGCUCCAGUGGCCCAUGUUGACCCUUUGAAAUUCCCAUGGGACUGUCAAUUCUAUCUAUUCUGGGAGCAGCCAACCAUAGCUAAUUACAGGCCUGUGGUAUUAGUGGAACAAGCUUCAGCUUUUUACAUUGGCUUGAUGGAGAACUGAGUAGAUAUAAAAGUGUUACAUGUUUUUCUGUAAUCAUAAUAACGUAAUCUUGUUUCAUAAUCAUUAAUAAUUCCUAACAUUUAUUGAAGAGUUAAUAUGUGUUGAGUAUUUUUGUAAGUGCUUAACAUGCAGUUUUUAAAAUUUUAACUCCUUUUUACAGAAAAGGUUUACAGAACGCCAGAGGGGUAGGUGAUUUUGCCAGAGCUCUUUUAGGUAAUAGGAAACAAAGCCAUAAAUUUGAUCCCAGCUAGUUUGACCCCAUAGUCCAAGCAUUAAUCCCUGAACCACACUAGCUCUGGCAAGGGUAUAAAUGAGCAGUGAUUACUAACUGACUUAAAACACAAUAGGAAUUAUCCCCAGUGAAUUCCAACAUAUAAAGGGACACUAAUUCUUGCCAUAGAAAAUCUAUUUGAUAAGUAUGAACAAGAAUUCCAAGGUUAUCAAAAAUAAUUUCUAAUAGUUUAAUUCUUUAAAAGAAAUGGUGUAUCUCAUGGACACAGGAAGGGGAACAUCACACUCCGGGGACUGUUGUUGGGUGGGGGGAGCGGGGAGGGAGAGCAUUAGGAGAUAUACCUAAUGCUAAAUGACAAGUUAAUGGGUGCAGCACACCAACGUGGCACAUGUAUACAUAUGUAACAAACCUGCACAUUGUGCAAAU